AUGUUUACCUUUUUCUUUUUCAAUUAAUGUGCAGAAACAGUUUAAGCUUUAAAAGGAUUUUCAUGGAUUGGAAUAAACAUUGUUUUAGUCUUGGUGAAAGGGAAUCUCUCCAUUGAGCAACUGGAAAAAGGGGUACGCGGUGCAGGUAAAAUGCUUUUUACACACCUCAACAAGUGGAGUUACUGUAGAUAAUCAAACAGAUUGAGGUUUGAUCUCUGCUCUAAGCACAAUUCAGACUAAUAUCACAAAUCCAAUGCUCUUACUGCGCAUUCAAAGAUACAUAUUUAAAGUGUUUUCAGAUAUUCAAUACAAAUGGAGAAACUCAUUACAACAAACAUGAUGUUACUAUUUCGAUCAUGCAGUUUAAUUGGAAAUUAGCAUGUUUGCCCUUUUAAAUAAAAUAAUAAAAGCCCAAUAAUAACAUCAAAUUAAAUAAAACAUUAAGUAAAUAGAAAUUCACUUCUGUUAGUUAGAUGGGAGAUCCGCAGGGUGCUACUGUAAAAGAGUGUGUUUCAUUUCUGAAAGGCUGCAGAGUACAGACUGCCUCCCCUCUGCUCCGUCAUAAAUAAUAAACGACCCGACAGAACAGGUGGGAGUGGUAAUAGAAUGUAGACACAGUAAUGGAACCUGCUAAUAUGAAAUAGUCCCAUCUUAUAACAAUGACGACCCGUUGAGUCGUGAGGAUUCCCGGCCUGAGCUGAGGAGAGGAGCAGGCUUAAGUAAUAGCAGUGCAAGUUUCAAUGGAAACAGCCCCGUAUCCAGUUCCUAAUCGUAUCAUCUCCCUCCACAUCAGAGCUUCGCUUUUAGAUUGCAGAAACGUACUCACCGAGCUCCAAGAUCACGGCCCUCUUAACCUCCUCGUGUGGCAGGUAAAGCCAUUGAUGAGGUGACUCUCGUUGCAGGACUGCUCUUACAUGCUGAUUUCGAAGGCAGCAGCGCUGCAAUGCCCUUCAUUUAUUACUCAUUGGGGCUCAGGUAACGGUGAAGGAGCUGAAGAAAGUCAAACUGGGAGAUGUCAGCCUUAUUAUUUUUCAGCAAGUCAAAAUGAGACUCCCGCUGUCGUAUAAAAGUUGACAGACCUCCAAAUUGGCGUGGGCCGUGAUGGCCUUUUAGCGCCACAAUAGACUGGCAAAAGCACUUUUUUAUCUUUGGGAUUCGUUGAAGCAAUGAUAUUUUUGGUUUAAGUGUUUACCGGAGAUAAACAAAAUACUGAGUACAAUUUUGUAUCACUGUAAGGCGUUUGAGUACAGUAACCAAAAACAUGUUGACCAUAGGUAGUUACGCAUGAUUGCAUAGCUAAUCUAAGUGGAUCACAUGUGCAUAGUGUGUCUUGGAAUGCGAAAAUACACAGAGAUGGAGCAGUAGGAGCUGAUGACCCCAUUUAUCAAAUGGGAAAAUGAUUACAGCUGAAAGUCCAAUGAUGUUAUAUACCCCUGAUACAACUCACCAAGGAGGUAAACAAACCGUAAAAUACGGUCUCGUGUGACAGCAAGAAAACUGUGAGGGAAAGAUAAAUAGGUUUGAAAAUAGAACGAAUGUCAAACAUCUGAGCCACUAUGGAGUUCGGUUUGAGGGAGCAGAAAUGGGAGCCUUCUUUUUCAAAUUUCCUGAGAGAAAGAGCAGGAAUCUUUGCUAACAAGCCAUAACGGCUAAAAUCACAUACAGAAGACAUUUUUGUCUUGUUUAAAAAUGAAUUUACAGACUAUCAUGUAAUACAGUACAUCGAGUGUAAGAUAUAUAUAUAUAUAUAUAUAUUGUAUACAUAAUAAUUGGGGUUGUACAUUGUAGACAACAAAUUACAUAGGUCAAUGAUAUUGACCUCAAAAUACACAUGUAUCAAAUCUCUGCAAAAGAAAAGCUUAAUAAUACCUUAUUCCUCUCACAAUUCACUGAAGUAUCUUUGUCAUUAACUGAAGAGAACAGAGAUCAAGAAAAAUCUCCAGGAGAGCAUAGAUUCAUCUUCAUAGACAAUUAUAAGAAUAUUUUCCAUACGCUCUGAACUACAGCUGUCCAACUAGUUAUUUCUGUAGUAAAAGCAUUUGAAUAUACUGUACAAGAAGAUAAUUUAUCUCGUCAUUGCUGGGAAUAUAGUGUGCUUCCGUGAAUUCACCGUGUACACAUAUUCUCAUCCAAUAUAUUCAUCCAAUAUAUAUUCAGGUCAGCCUCAGAAAGGUUAGUGAUGGCCUGCUGAUACGAUGCACCACAGCCAAAGAUACACUCUGCAAAAUGUUUUUACUCUUCCGGUUCAAGAAAAAAACAGAACUGAAGUUCGCACAAGAUAUUUGAUAAGAAUUAUUAAUGACUGAUCAUAGAAAUUAUCAUAGAAUUAGGCAUCACUGUCAGUGCUGUGAUGUGGUCUUGUUUUUGUAUCAGCAUGCAUCAAAACAAUUUCCUACAUAUUUUUCAUUCGUAGGAUUGAUGGUUCCAACAAAGUUUCAGUGUUACAGUCCUUCCUGCCAUUCCCACAGCUUUACAAUUCAUGGCUGUAAUAUGCAAAACCUUUGAUAUUACAGCUGCUGGGCUUCAUAUUGUUGGUUCAUGUUACAGUGAAAAGUCUGUUAUGCGGUAAAAUAAAUCGCACUCUUUUCUUCAACAGUGAUCGAGCUUCUCCACUGGUGAAAAUGUCUGACAUUAGGGAAUGAAUAAAAAAUUUAUAAGCUUCAUUUUCCUGCUGGACCUUUGGCAUUUUGUUGGCAAUUCAAUGCUCUCGAAUGUAAGAUUAAAGAAUGUUCUACUCUGUUUUGUUAGUAUUUUGCUGGAAGUUAAAGAACUGAAGUAUAAACAGGUAAUAUUGUCAAGAUAUUAUAUCAAACACCUGUUCUUCAGGGUAUUACACAACAAAAUGAAAGUAAAAUAGGAUCAAUGGAGAGCAAAAUGGUCCACGUUGUAGUAAGAAUCAUACUGACAUUUCAACGUUUAUCUAAACUUACCAGGGAUAUCUUUCAACUCUGUACCAUUUAUGUUUUAAUUAGGAAAGAAUGCUAAUUUAUAACCAUAUAUCUGGAGGCAAAGGAAGUUCAAGCCUCUGAGGGCCUUUCCUUAAGUUGAAAACUUGAACUUGAUGUCCUCCCCCGCGGCCUCCCAUAGCGGCCUUCUGGAAUCAGCCAUCGAUAAGAUGGAAAUCUGGUGUCAUUAAUUCCCAAAAUAUUCUCCCAAGAUACACGUACAAGUAUGUUAAUCGAAUUUCUGCUUUCCAUCAAUUGCACACACAGUUUGAAUGAUCGUCAGUAAUGCCUUCUGCUACAGUCUGAGAAUGUCCAACAAAGAGGUCCAUUCAUUUGCAUGCCAACAUGUUUGUAUAAGUCCUUUUGCUUCUUGAAUCUAAAUGUUGCUGCGUGGGGCGUUUUACUAAGGGGAAGACUGACGACCUGUCACACCCGCCGCAGCCAAAUAUUUGUAUCAACGCUAUAAGAAAUGAUCAUAUUACAAUUAUCAAUAUAUCUAUCCAUAUAUUACUUUGGACAGCAGCUUGGUGUCAUAAGAUCAUCCCGCGCUUCAAGUAAUGAGUUUGUGUACAGCAAACCAAUCGCACCCGGUGAGGAGCCACCGACAGCUCAGGCCACGGCUUCGGUGUCUGCAGGACGACACUGUUCAUUAAAAACAACAAUUGGGUCUCUUGAAAAGGUCAGCGUAGAUGCUGCAAUAACACUAGAAACAUCGGGAUUUCAUUUUUGUAAAAAAUGAGAAGAUAAGGGAAAACAAAGGAAAGUGGCAAAAGGUUGACAAAAAGUCGCAUCCGUGUAACAAGGGUUAGGUAGGUUGAGGCAACAAAAUCAUAUUGGGUUUGGAAAAAGUUUGGUUGCUAGUGAGAGAAAAACAAGUCACGCAACAAAUGUUUACUUUUACACUCUCACGGGACUUUGAUCCAUCCUCCUGCUCCCGCCUGCUCUAAGCCGACCUUGUUGCACUUCAUACCGCGUCACGUGAUCGUAUCGUCCAAUGAAGCCAGAGGAGGGUUUACAUGCAGCGUCAGUUGAAAGCCCAAUGUGUCGCAUACAGCCACCGAAAGCAUCCUGAAUCAUUUUCUUUUUUUCUUUUUCAACAGUCUGAAACAUGCAUUUUUCAUGAAAUAUUCAAACGUUUUUCUUCUGUCUUUGCAUUUCCUUCAUUCAUUUCACUUUAUUUUGUCUCCUUAUUGUUGAUUUGGGUUCAAUUGCUUUUUCCCUCUUUUACUUUUUAAGGUGUUACCGUGUACAGAGCAGAUUUCUGCCUUUUUAAACAUCUGCGUGAAUUGAUUAAUCAUUUCCCUCAGCCACAAGGACGACAAUUCUUCAAAAAUAAAGGCAAGAAGGCUUUCUUCCAAAUAUGUUUUAGAUACUUCUUUUAUAUUCAACACUUUUACCUGUGUUUGUGCCUCACCUUGCUCGAGGGUGGAAGUCAGCAAGGAGAGGAAAUAAGUGAGCCAAAGAUAAUGAUCAGAGUAAACGCAUUUCUUUCAGAAAGACAAAAAGAGGGAAUCUUGCCUGGAGCCAGUAAAAAACAUUGUUUUUUUACAUUUCCAAAUAUCUUCCCGGGUGGCAAAAUUCAAAAUACGCUGUCAGACAUGGACACUCACUGACCCUGGCAAAAAAACAGGUGCUGAAUUAAGAAUUUGUGCAAAUACUGCCCACAUGUUUGUCUUUCUUUCUUCACUCACAUAAAAAGCCUACAAAGAUGGUCAGUGAUGAAUCUAACAGAUUGUCUGUUUGCAAAAGAUUUGAGUGUUUCAACCAGAAGACAGACUAACAACUUUUUACAUUCAGUCUUUACAACUUAUGCUGUAAAGCCCAGAAAUUAAAGAUCUCCCUGUGCCUCAAAUCAGCAAUACCAAAUUAGGAUUCACACACACUGUCUUUUUCAUUGUGAAAAAGUUGGUGCAACACUCUUCCAGAAUUUAGAGAAUUUGUUUUGAACUUUUAAACAUCUGAGAGAUCAUUUUAAAGAUUAGGCUUUUGUGCAGGAUAUAAGACUGAAUGAUUAAUGUCUCAUCCGCCCGCUGUGUUCUGUAGUCCCAAUUAAAAAAAAACAAAUAUCCAGCCCAUUUUUUCUCUCUACAAUCAGCUUGAGGGGCUCUGCUGCAUGUCCCAAGUGAACGCCACAAUCAAGAGCAUUUGAAAUUAGCCAUCUAAUUGUCUUCAUGCACAAAAGACACAGCCAGAGGUCCUGAACACAAUAUGCCGUUUGAUGACUCCAUCAACGUAUCUUGUUAAGGGGAGAAAUGGGUUUUAACACGGUGAGGAAUAAUAGUAAUUAGUUGCGAUGGUUCCCAAACUUUUUCUGUUGAGCCCUCCUUUGAUGGUAUAGGAACGUUGAAGCCCUCCCACGCCCUCCAUCCCCACACCACAACUCAAUAUAAUUAGUUUUUCUUCCUUUAAAGUACAUAUUCCCUCACUAAAAUCCAAAAAUGAAAUGGCAAAGAAAUUUCUGUGCAAACAGCAUUACUGGAGUCUCUCUUCUUGUGUUGGUAAAGGGACAGAUUUGUCUGUAGCAGACUGACAUCCGAUUUGUGCUUGACACAAGUCACAAACCUGUGCAUCUUGGCACAUCGGGACCUUAUAUAUGUCUUUUUCUCUAUCUGUGUAGCUCUGUGUCUUUCGUAUCGUCUUACUAGUGUGUGUGUGUGUGUGUGUGUGAUCUUUGGGUCGCACAUCUUUAGAGACGAAAGAUGUGAAUUGCUGUUGAGGAAUUUACUUGCAGGUUGCAUUCCGAGAUGUGUUCGGAGGGAUGAAACAAUCAGUUGGUUGGGUUAUGCAUUUCAUUAAGAGUUAAGGCACUAGAAACUUUCAACGCUGAAGUCCUUUCUUUGAUCACAGUUAAUGCGUCUCUAAGAGGAUUAAACUGUCAUAUUAGAUAGAUUUGCCACUGAGUGGAUAAAUCUAAAUCCUUCCAGUCUCAGCAGUGAAAUCUGUAACCUUUUGCAUCCCGCCACACGCACAACGGAAAAAUGCAAACCCUGCGCAUUAUGUUGCCAUUGCCUUGUCAAGCAUUAUACAGCAUGUUAGAUCUCACUGGUGACAAGAGGAUAAGGGAUUUAAAGUCCUGCCAAAAAUUCUUGGCAUUAAUAUUUCAUGUUUGCAUGAGAGUGUUCUGUACAAACAUAUUCAACCAGAAUGGCAUUGAUCCAUUUUUCAAAUCCUGACAACUCACUGCACAAAGCCUGUCCUUCAUAUAUUUUUAGAAUAGAAUAACCUGCUUAACUAAUAUCGAGGGUCCAAGAUGAUCCCAUCCAUAUCCGUGAUAUUUUGCGGCUUGGGAAGAAACUAGUAAAUACUAUAUUGCAUCUUGACGUUGUGAAACACUGAAGGCUUCUGCCUUCGCGUUGGUAUUCUAUGACUCAGAGGUAGAUUAGACAUUGACAAUGCAAUUUCAUCUCCAAAUAAAAUAAGUGGACUAGAAGUCCAUAAAGUGCUCCAAAACUUAAGUGGCCAUUUCAUCACCGCUGGUAAACCCUAAAACAUCUUCGACAUGGACCUUUUAAGCAAUAUUCUGUUGUCAACUGUUGUUUCCAAUGUCAAUAUUUCCCCUUUGGGACUGCUGCUGCAUCUUAAACACCUCAUAAUUCCUUCAUAGUACAUUUAUUGCUGCUUUCAUACUUCUCACAAUGAUGAAAUUGUAUGGCCGGUACUUCUAACCAGGAGAGUGAGAGUAUUCACAGGUUCAAGCCAUGUGUGGAAAAAACAUUAUUUGACAAACGGGUCACAGCUGAUGAAAGGUAGGGGCCUUGACAGAAAUAACAUUUAGUCCUCCUCUUUAGAUUAGAAGAAAGAUGAAAAACAGGGCUUGGCCCGCAGGAACAUCUGGUGAUUUCUGUCAUAUAAAGCCAAUAAGAUAAACCCCUCUGAGAGUGACAAUUUGGGGCAGACAGGAGGCACAAUAACAAAUGUCUUGGAACUCCAGGUUCUACUAUUUGAGGGUCAGACCGUUCAGGUUGGAGAGAUCUGGGGAGUGACUUUGCCGGGAUUAGUCGGAAGCUUAAUGAACCUUCUGGGCUUCAAUGAUUAUUUUACAAAAAGCCUUUCACCACCUCGGGUUAAACAAUGAGUGAAAAUGAUUUAUGAAUAUUAAUGGCCUCUCUGAUGAAAACCCUGCUAAUCCACCUGGAUUUUGUUUGCGGGGCUGGUGUGGAUUAAACGCUUUGAGCGGGCUUUCCUUUUAUCUGUUUAUCUCAGGUGUUCAUAAUGAGCAACUGAUCAAUGCAUUGAUUUAAUCUCAACGAAGAUACAUUCCGUUUUUUAUCAGCCUCCUAUCACUGCCAUGGAGGCUUUAGGUCCUGUCUCCAGAUGAGGCUUAAUUACCUAGAGGGGGGAAAUGAUCCGCAGAGGGGGACUAAAUGGCAAAAAUGGGUGUUGCCAUCCAACCCGUCUUGGCUGAAAGGAUGUGCAUGUGCUUUUCAGCUGUUUCGUCACUCCCCUGGACCAAUCAGCCAGCUUGUACAAUAAAACUCAGCGUCUAAAACAGCAUAAUUCACACAAAUAAAGGCCUCUGGCUAAAUGGACGGGCUGAAAAAGAUGAACAAAAAACUUUUAUUUUGCUAUCAUCAUCACAACUAUUUUUAGGUAAAAACAUUUUUAUAAUCAGCAGAAGUGACUAUAUUGACCUUUUCCUGUGGCCUUUUCCCAUGAAGAAUUGAAAUGCUGAGAGACAGCAGAUCUUAGCAGGAUUAAAUUGCUGCUGAGUAAAGCCUAUUUCAUCACGACUAGUGCCUCGGUAUAGAUGCUACCAUGAAGCCAAGACUUGGCAUUUCCAUACUAGGAGUUGCAGGUUUAAGCACAACAAACAUUUGUGACCUUACGGAAAACUAAUUCACUCUUAACACGUUUGGAUGAGAGGAAAAUUCCGUUAUUUCAUUGAAUGUCAAGCAUGGGCGAUGCUCUGUGAUUGCAGUAUAGCUACGUAUAGCUAUGUUAUUGAUUUCCAUUUACGGAUCUUCCAAUAUCAGAGGAAGAGGAAAAUAAAAACAAACAGAGGCAGAAAUGCAAACACAAGGAGUCAAACAAAUACCAUACAAAGAGGAAACGGAUAAACAGACCAACGUAGGAAUAGAGCCAGAUGGUAAGCAGGUAAAUAGAGAAACAUUUUAUCGCUUUUAGGCUCUGUUUCUGUAUCACUGUCAUAUGAUCUAAAAGUCAGGUUGGUAGAGGGGACGGGGCUAUGGUCAGUGAGCAAAUAUUUAUAAUUCCUGAUCUUUAACAGGGUGGAGUUUAAGGAAUUGCAUUUUAAUGCACUCAGAAAAAGGCUGGAUGAUUCAGACAUUCAAUUUUAUUCUGUUCAAUUGGUAUGACUGGCGGUAGAAUUAGACUUCAUGCCUAAUGUAUUUUUCAGUAGCUGUGAGCUUUAGAUGAAAGAGAGGGUUUUCAUUUGCAUGAAAUAAUUGAAUUAUAAAGAGUAACACGUUGGAGAUUAUAGGACAGAUCAUUAAGGCCAUCCUUUGGUUUAAUUGUAUGUUUUACACCAACGUAGCCUAGGCCUGUUCAAAGGUAUUAGAAAUCACAUUUAAUUCAACUUUUGAAAAUUGAAUUAUUGAACUCCAUGACGAACAACUAAGUCAGGCCCAUAGCAGACAUCAUUUAGCGUGAAGUAAUUCCAUAUGUGUUGGAAGUAGUUGGGAGUGAAAGUUUUAAAAAGAAAUCUGAUAAAAGUUCAGCAUUAUUAUUCACCAGAUGACAUAUUCCUCUCUGUCAGUGCAAUUAUUCAUACAUUUACACUUAUCAUAUUUCACAGUCCAUAUUCAAUAAGAAGAGAUAUGAAAAUGUAAUAUUUCUUGAGCAAUGGCGCCGCUCUGACAGUCACACACACAAAUGAUGAGACAGACAUCAACCAGGAAGAGAGACUUUUGAUUUGUGGUGUAUUAAAAAACAAUGGGUAGACAUGUUUCUAUGGGCAUUAUGAUACAGUACAUUUUUUACAACCUUGAUAAUGUGUUCUAAAAGACUGAAUAAGCUGUAUUCCCUUCAAGUUACUACAAAAAAACAGCUUUGCGGCUCCUUUCUGUCCUACAAGUGACACUAAAAAUGCAUUUUUGUUUAGACUAUCAUUCUAACCUCAUGAAGAAUGAAUUAUCAUCUUGCGCCCACACUCUAUUACAUUAUAUUUACCAAGCAGCCAGCAUAUGGUGUCUCUGCACAACUGCGGCUGUUGGGAAAAUAUGAUUGAACAAUUAAUUUACCACUUUGGUUCAACUCCCUGUGACGAGCGCGAAAGCUUCUUUUGUGUCUAAAAGCAACAGAGGGUAAGUUCAGCUGUAACGCUGUGUGGCAAAUUGAUUAUAUAUGAGGAUGCAAUAAGGCACCUGCUCAUAGAAUUAAUUGGGAGACCUGCCUUCACUUUAAUGAACAGACAAAUGUUCAGAGCUCAAGCUCCUGAAUCCUGAAAUGUUGUACAGUGAUCCCUCGCCACUUCGCGGUUCACUUAUCGCGGAUUCGCUAUUUCGCGGAUUUUCAUAUUGCAUUUUUUUUUUUUUUGGUGCAUUGUGCUCUGCAUUCUGAUUCGCUAAAAACUCACUCCCGAGCCGUUCAUUACAGUUCUCCAACGUAAUCGAUGGUGGCAUGUCGGUGUACAAGGAUCUUUUUGCAAAGAAGAAAAAAGAGCGACAACAGCUGCCUAUCACUAUGUUCUUCUCCCGAACAAACACACCUGCACCGCGGGCUUCAGAAGAAGAGAACACUGCAGAGCGCAGUCAGGAUGCAGCGGCCCAGUCUGAAGAGCAGUGAAACGGCCUACACGCGAGUCACUGUAUUUGUAUACAUGUAAUAGUUGCUAAUUGUAAAAAAAAAAAAAAGUUUUCUAUUUCGCGGAUUUCACUUAUCGCGGGUCAUUUUCGGAACGUAACCCCCGCGAUAAACGAGGGAUUACUGUAUUACCCAAUGUGCCUCUUUGAGUGUAAUUUUAGGUUUGCCUGCUGAGCUAACAUACUUUGUUGUACAUAUAAUAUCACCAAAUGGGUCCAGUCGUUCUUUUAUGCACUGCAAUUUGUUGUAAAAGCGGCAUGGAAACUAUUCCUCCCCUUCUGUUUUGGAGCAAAGCUGACGGGCCACAGAUGUGAAAUACAUUGAGACCAUUAAGCCUCCAGCCUAAUGUCUUUCUUUUUCACCUCUGCCAGCCGUUUUUGAGAACUUAUCACCAGCGUGGAUUUCUGCUGGUGGCUACAAGGCAUCAUGUCCACAGGCCAGUAAUGAAGAUGUAAUUCCAAAGUCUUCCACCUGGACUGGAACGGAUGCGAAGGAGGAGGGAGGGAGAUUAACAGGUGCAAGGAAAGGGAAAACAGGGAUGGGAAGAUGAAAGGAAGUUGAGAGGAGGAAAGAGGGAGGGUAUGUGGCCGCUUCUGUGGCUCCGUGUGGACCCGGAGGCAACAGAAGUAGCAUCUGCUCUGGAGGACAGAAGCAGGAUAGGAGAGGCACAUAACGCUCAGGAGACAGAGGAGCACUAUUGAUUGAUUCCUGUUUUUCCACAGCAGUGAUAAUAGAAGAGCAGCCCGGUCCAAUUGAGACGCUUCGUCCCACCCCUUAGCAUCUGCUAACAACACACAUGGCACCGAUUAGUGUCUGUAUGAAACACACCAAGCAUGCAGCUAACUCAGACAUAAACCGUUCUCAUGUACACAAGGAAGUGAAAUGAUAAAACCAACAUCUUUGAACCAAAAAACAUGAUCUUUACUCUGUGUAUUUAACCUUUAUUUAACCAGGUAAAAGUCCCAUUUUCAAGGGCGACCUGAUCUCAUCAUGAUCUUUACACUGUAACAAAUUGCUGUAAAUUUACGGUGCAUUUCUAACGGUAUCUUACAAUAUGUCAUAAUAACUGUAACAUACAGUUAAAUUUCCAUCCCUUGCUUGUAAAUUAACGGCCAAUGUCAUGAAUAAACAGUUAAAGCUGUCAAUUUACGAUAAUAGCAGACUACCGUAAUUCAACUGUAUGUUACAUAUUUUUUAUGAAGUGGUGGAAAUACAAGAUUCAAACCGCCGACCUUGCGCUGCACAGCACACCUUCCCUAUCCCAUUCGCUGGCUUCACAGUUUUUCAGUGGCUGGAAUGUAAAGAUUAUAAAUAUUUGUAUUGUUGUGUUCAUUGCUUAAAAGUCAAGUGAGUGUCAAUCGUGACCGACUGCUCCUGAACGUGACGUCAGACGCAUAGUCUCAGUUCAUCCAGAACACCUUUGCAGUUCAACAUCGGAGGAGUUUCUCAUUGCCUCGUCUCUCCAAGUAACGUUGAUAAGUGUUAUUUACCUAGCAUGAUUAACAUUCUCUUUCCUUACAUCUUGUUGUCUUCCCCAUCUUUGUAAUUUUAAUAUUUUACCAAUGACAGUGUUUCUAAAUAUUUUAUUUUGGUUUGUUUUACAGAGGCACUGGAUUAAGGACGCCAGCCGUUUGCUGCGGUCAAUUGAAAGUGUUCCAUAGCGUAUUGUUGCAGUUAGUUUACCUUGUUCCUAAUAAUUUUAUGUUUAUGUAUACAUGCGGCAUAUUUUAUGUUUUGUUCAUGGUUACAAAUGUCUAACAUUUUUGUCUUAAAGGCAUCUACUAAACUCCAACCACUAUGAUGGAAAUGAGUUUGGUUGUCUUUCUUUAAUUUGUGGGGAAUUAAAUGCGAAAGUAUACGGUACCAUUCUGGUAUUUAUAACACAUAAACAGUAAUCCUAUGGUAACAAACAGUAAUCCAAUAUACAGCAACAUACCGUAUAUUACGGAAGGUCACUGUAAAUAAAACAGUAAGUUACUAGCGUCGACUGCCAGUAAAUUGAAGUUAAUUCACAGUAAAAUUGGUUUUACAGUAAGUUUACAGUAACAUACAGUAAUCUAUUAUUCGGUAACAUAUUGUAUUCUACGGCAGUGUACCAUAAAAAACAGCAAAUUACUGGCAUCCGCUGCCAAUAUUUUACCGUUCACGCCAAUUUACUGUAAUCCAUUUUACUGUAACAAAGUAUAAAAACCAUUUACGGUAUUAUGCCGUAAAAUAACCGUAAAUUCCUGGCGUCCUUGCUGCCAGUAAGUUACCGGUAAUUUACGGUGAUUUUUGAGUGUACAUAAAGUGCUGCAGAGGGCUCCUGAAAUCAUUUCUAUCAACCACACAUGUGCUGUUAUGUUGAGACAGAUAAAACUCCAUCCUGACAGAGCAGUCCAGGCUGAUUGGUGAUCGUGACAUACUGGUUUCAAUUUGGCAGAUCCUUUCAAGGCUGUUGCUGCUUGGGCAUAUCUUUUAUUCAGAGGGACAUACACAGCGUGAACGCGGAGGUGAACAUGUGAAGCAGAGGGGGUUAAUAAAAUGCUACACUGCUCUCCUUGCAGCUGUAAUGUUUCAUUUAAAUGGCAUAUUUUCAUGGGUUAAGGGACAGGAUUGAGUUUUCUGACUGAAUUCCGACUCAUAUUUUAGCUGGCAGUGUCUACGUGUGCUCAGACUGAACCCUGAACUGAAUGCUGCAGACAAAGUCAGUGUUUAGUUGCAUGGAAACUGAUCAAACUCCAAAAACUAGAGAAAAACGCAUAUUUCCCAAAAUGUUGACACAUUAGAUAAAAUAAAACUGUUAGAGAAGGCGCACAAGCUGAUGAACCUACUAGUUUUAGACAUUUUAGAAGUAGAUGUUUUUCGUCCACAUGUAAGUGUCACUUUUUUUAAAAAUUCUAUUGUAAUCACAUGUCAGUCAGUCAGUCAGAAAGUGCUGAGCCUAGUAGAAGCAGCAAUAGUGGAAUAUAUCACCUGGAAUUAAGUAAGUUCGGCUAUUUCCGUUUUUCAUUUGUCACAACGACACAGAGAAAACAGUGCAGCGAUGAUUUAGCACACAGUAUGACAUCUAAUAAAUCUGAGAUCUGAUGGAUGGUCCAUAGAGAGUGCAGAAAGAGAAUUUUUCCAGCAAUGUUUUUUUUGGCUCAAACAGCUGCUCGCGUAAGAAGUCAAAACAGGAGUCUGAUGCCAGAGGGCCGUGGAAGUCGUGGUCUCCGUUAUCGAAGAGCUAGACCUUGACGGCACUUAUGAAAACGUGUGCUUCAUAUGCUACCCCCCCCCCCCUGUUUCUCAUACGCUGUGACGGUUGUAUCUGCCCUCAGGGUGCACGGCAGAUUCCCCGGUCAGAAGCUUGUAUAGGACUUAAUUCCUCUCUGAUGCAAACUUUGAGAGACGCAGCUCGUACAGUAAGAGCUGGAGGGUAGAACUUUAAUUGCCUUUGUGCGCCGCGGUUCAAUUCAAUCUUUAAAACUGCAAACAUAAAUAGUGAACAACAUGACACACUGACUCAGUUUAGUCAAUGUCUUUAACAAUGCGUGCAGGAGGGUGAGCAGGCCGCCCCAAAUUCUCUGUCGCCCCGAACAGAGACGUUGCAGUGACAGCCGAUGACAGAUGACGCAAAACUACGAAAGUAGCACAUGCACGUUUUCUGUCUCAUACUCAACAACCCGGAUUUACACACAGCACACCUGUUCACUUUGAUCAGCCAUCGUGCAAAUCCCAAAUGUUAUUUAGGAAGAGGACUAAAAAGCCCAUAAAUCCAACAGCUGUUCUCUGGCCUCUGACAUAAUGUGUUGUUUACUCAAUAUGACCUUUGUCGAGCUGUACCUUUUUCCAAAUUGUCCAGAAACACACGUAUUCCCUUGGUUGGAGUUGAAUAAGUGCAGUUAAGUAAGUGUCAGAAUGUGGUAGAAUAAUACUUUUAAGUAGAACUCAAACUUUAAAUGCUUGGAUUAUUGAACCUUUGUAAAAAAAUGAAUUUAAAAAAGGUGAUUCAACAGAAAAGCAUUUAACAUGUGUCAGGUUGUUGAUUACUCUUUUAGCACUGUUGAAGACGUAAUGCCCUACAAACCCACGGCCUUCCCACGCAGGUCCUCUACUGAUUUGGCUGAUUAAACCUUUUCUGUGAGGAGGUGCUUGAUUGAAUGAGUUGCGUCUCUGAGGGCAAAUGACGUACUUUGGUAUUAGACCUUUUUAAUUGGACAUUUUCACCUGUCACAGCCUGUUCCUGCUGACAAGGACUCAUUUUGAAACAAUGAGUCACUGUCAUACCUUACAAGAACAAACACAAUUCAUCAAAAGCACUGUGUAGGCUGUGUCAUUUAAAACUACCAUGUCACUGAAACCUCUAACAGUAAAUCUUGGACUUUGAAUGCUAUCAUCAUACUGUACUAUUUGUUGGUGAAGUGACAGUGUUCUCUGCGCACCUACCUAUUCUCUUCUCAGACUCUAUGCACCAGCGGCGCAAAGGUUCCAAUGAGCCAUCAAAAAUCAUACCAUGACAGGUCGAAUCAAUAAACCCAAAUGCAUACAUGGGUAGGACAUUACUGCAUACAUUCUCAUAAUCUUACCUCGCAACGUCCGUGGCACGUUUGUUGUCACAUGUUAACGCAAUAUAAAUGGUUCGUCCACAGCUACCAGCUGAUCUAUCGAGGUGUCCUUUAGUAAAGUCAUAUACGCAGUCCAUAGUGUUGUCCCCUGGUAAUUAACAUGAACUUUAAUAUUAGCAGUUCCACCUGUGUCUCACCUGUAAAAACAUCACAAAGAGUCCAUUCUCCACAAAGCUAUACCCAAAUUCAACCUGAGCAGAAUCAAAUUAUUCACAAGAUCUGACAACAACUCCACUAAUUGGAGUGUUUGAAUGGAAGAACGC
ensembl:lncRNA